rnacentral:rRNA from 1 species
ACCUGGUUGAUCCUGCCAGUAGUCAUACGCUUGUCUCAAAGAUUAAGCCAUGCAUGUCUAAGUAUAAAGGUUACAUACAAUGAAACUGCGAAUGGCUCAUUCAAACAGUUAUAGUUUAUUUGGAUUAAAAAAACAUUUGUUUAAAUGGAUAACCGUAGUAAUUCUAGGGCUAAUACAUGCGUUACGGGGGACUUUUCGGAACCCCAGUAUUUAUUAGAUUUCAAACCAAUAUUCCGCAAGGUCUACUGAGAUGAUUCAUGAUAACUGAUCGGAUUGCUGGUCUACCGGCAAUAAGUCAUUCAUGUUUCUGCCCCAUCAGCUUGAUGGUAGUGUAUUGGACAACCAUGGCAUUCACGGGUAUCGGGGGAUUAGGGUUCGAUUCCGGAGAGGGAGCCUGAGAAACGGCUACCACUUCUACGGAAGGCAGCAGGCGCGAAAAUUAUCCAAUCCUGAUUCAGGGAGGUAGUGAAAGAAAUAAUGAACUAGGAUUUAUCCUGGGGUCACAAUGGGCUUGAUUUGCAAACUUUAUUUAGCGAGGAACAAUUGGAGGGCAAGUCUGGUGCCAGCAGCCGCGGUAAUUCCAGCUCCAAUAGUGUAUAUUAAUGUUCCUGCAGUUAUUCGAUGCUCGUAGUUGGAUUUCUGGGGGCUGAGAUCGGAGGGUGGCCAAGGUCACCGCCGAACUCUUCCUCCAUCCACCUGUUAACGUCGCUCCGGGAUUCGUUUCUCGGCUUCGGGCUCAGGUACUUUACCCUUUCUAUAUAUUUAUUUUUUUGAGUAAAUUAUAGUGUUUCAGGCAGGCGUGCGCCGGAAUACUUUAGCAUGGAAUAAUCGAAUUGGACCGUGUAUUCUUAUAGAAUUCUUCCUUAUUUGUUGGUUUCAAGGACACGGAAAUGGUUAAUAGGGAUAGUGUUUUAGGGGAGCAUUAGUAUUUAAUUUCCAGAGUGAAAUUCUUUGAAAUAUUAAAGACUAACUUAUGCGAAAGCAUUUAUUUUUGCCAAUAAUGUUUUCAUUAAUCUUGAACGAAAGUUAGGGGAUCAAAGACGAUCAGAUACCGUCCUAGUCUUACCCAUAAACGUUCCCGACUAGGGAUCGGAGGGCGUCCACAUUCCCCCUUCGCCCCCUUACGAGAAAUCAAAGUCUUUGGGUUCUGGGGGUAGUAUGGUCGCAAGGCUGAAACUUAAA